AAUGAACGCUGGCGGCGCGCCUAAUACAUGCAAGUCGAGCGAGAAGACGUAGCAAUACGUUUGUAAAGCGGCGAACGGGUGAGGAAUACAUGGGUAACCUACCCUCGAGUGGGGAAUAACUAGCCGAAAGGUUAGCUAAUACCGCGUACGCUUCUUGGACUUCGGUUCAGGGAGGAAAGCGAUGCCGAGGGUAUCGCGCUCUUGGAUGGGCUCAUGUCCUAUCAGCUUGUUGGGAGGUAACGGCUCACCAAGGCUUCGACGGGUAGCUGGUCUGAGAGGACGAUCAGCCACACUGGCACUGCGACACGGGCCAGACUCCUACGGGAGGCAGCAGUAAGGAAUAUUGCGCAAUGGGCGAAAGCCUGACGCAGCGACGCCGCGUGGGGGAUGAAGGUCUUCGGAUUGUAAACCCCUUUCGGGAGGGAAGAUGGAACGAGCAAUCGUUCGGACGGUACCUCCAGAAGCAGCCACGGCUAACUUCGUGCCAGCAGCCG
rnacentral:rRNA from 1 species